rnacentral:tRNA from 1 species
GCGGGCAUCAUAUAAUGGUUAUUAUUCCAGUUUUCCAAACUGGUAACAGGGGUUCGAUUCCCCUUGCCCGCUCUA